rnacentral:rRNA from 1 species
AGCUUUAUGAUAUAACAUAAAGCAACUCCUGCUCAGUGAAUUUCAACAGCCGCAGCUUUAUUCUGUGCUAAGGUAGCAUAAUCACUUGUCUUUUAAUUAAAGAAUAGAAUGAAUGGAAAAAUGAAUUUUUAACUGUUUCAUUUAUAAUCAAUAAAACUACUAAAAAGUAAAAAUACUUUUGUACCUAAAAAAGACGACAAGACCCUAAAGAACUUAAACUACAGUUUUGCUGGGGUGGCAUAAAGAAAAAAAUCUUUUUCUAUAUCUAUUAAUUCUAAAUAUAACAUAUUAGUUACCUUAGGGAUAACAGCAUAAUUUUAUUUCACAGUUCUUAUCAAAAAUUAAGAUUAUGACCUCGAUGUUGAAUUAAAAUUCUUUUAAACGAAAAUUUUUAAUUAAGAAAGUCUGUUCGACUUAUGACCAUUUACA